rnacentral:rRNA from 1 species
AACGAACGCUGGCGGCAGGCCUAACACAUGCAAGUCGAGCGAGACCUUCGGGUCUAGCGGCGGACGGGUGGGUAACGCGUGGGAACGUGCCCUUUUCUACGGAAUAGCCUCGGGAAACUGAGCGUAAUACCGUAUACGCCCUUUGGGGGAAAGAUUUAUGGGAGUAGGAUCGGCCCGCGUUGGAUUGGGUGGUUGGUGGGGUAAUGGCCUGCCAUGCGCAGGUUCCUUAGCUGGUUGGUGAGGAUGACCAGCCACACUGGGCCUGAGGCACGGCCCAGAGUCCUACGGAAGGCAGCAGUGGGGAAUCUUAGACAAUGGGGGCAGCCCUGACAUCGCCAUGCGGGGUGAGAGAUGAAGGGCUUAGGGUUGUGAAGCUCUUUCAGCUGGGAAGAUAGUGACGGUACCAGCAGAAGAAGCCCCGGCUAACUACGUG